rnacentral:rRNA from 1 species
UAAGGAAUAUUCCACAAUGGGCGAAAGCCUGAUGGAGCGACGCCGCGUGAGGGACGAAGCCCUUUGGGGUGUAAACCUCUUUUUGUGGGGAUGAAACGGUAUGUUAGACGCAUACCUAAGACAGUACCCGCAGAAUAAGCCUCGGCUAACUACGUGCCAGCAGCCGCGGUAAUACGUAGGAGGCGAGCGUUGUCCGGAUUUACUGGGCGUAAAGCGCGCGCAGGCGGCACCUUAAGUACGAUGUGAAAUCUCCCUGCUCAACGGGGAGGGUGCAUAGUAAACUGAGGAGCUAGAGGGCGGUAGAGGGGGGUGGAAUUGCUGGUGUAGCGGUGAAAUGCGUAGAGAUCAGCAGGAACACCCGUGGCGAAGGCGGCCCCCUGGGCCGUACCUGACGCUGAGGCGCGAAGGCUAGGGGAGCGAACGG